CUGCACCCCCGAGGCUGUCCGGGCAGAUGCUUCCAGCAUGGAUUGCUGAAGUGCCUGUGGCAGCAUUGGAGGGUCUCCAACUGUCCCACGGCCAUUCCCAGGCUUCGGAGCAGAAAGUUGGCUGCAGUCGGUGCCGCCGAGCACACCUGAGGCACUUCGGUGGAAAACCGAGCCAGGAGCUCAGCUGCAGGCAGGAAGAAGCACCCACGGCACCCAGAGAACAGCACGCUGGGGGGACACGGGGACACGGUGACAUCAGGGACGCUGGGCGCAUGAGG